rnacentral:lncRNA from 1 species
CAGAGAGAAGUCUUGGCUCUCCCUUGGGCAAACAGGAAACUGCGAUAAUACAAGUGUGUUUCUGUAGACAGCCUGCUGUUUGGCUUUUUUCAGGAACUGGUGAUUUAGAGGGUGCUUCCAGGAACACCGCUAGAGACGGGAAGUGGGCUGAGCGCAGACUGCUGAUCUUUGGAGCUGAGAAUCUCAAGGGGAAAGCUCUCCCGCCUGCCCCAGGGGACUCCCCUCGCGCCUUCGGGAGGCGGCAGCAAAUGGAGAAAGCGCUCUGCCGCUCACUCGGGCGCCGUUGUCCCGUACUUGCCCGCUGGCAGCCUGCGAGCGGCAGUCUGAAGCCCGGUGAUCCCAGGGCUGCGUUACUAAUGCAGCUUCCAGCUGAGCGUCUCCGUGGCUCGUGGCUUGC